rnacentral:rRNA from 1 species
AUUGAACGCUGGCGGCAGGCCUAACACAUGCAAGUCGAACGAGUGGCGGACGGGAGAGUAAAGUCUGGGAAACUGCCUGAUGGCGGGGGAUAACUACUGGUAACUGUAACUAAUAACGCAUACCAUCGGAUGUGCCUUGAUGGGAUUAGCUAGUAGGAGGGGUAAAGGCUCACCUAGGCGACGAUCACUAGCUGGUCUGAGAGGAUGCCCGGACACACUGGAACUGAGACACGGUCCAGACUCCUACGGGAGGCGUCAGUGGGGAAUAUUGGACAAUGGGCGCAAGCCUGAUGCAGCCAUGCCGCGUGUGUGAAGAAGGCCUUCGGGUUGUAAAGGACUUUCAGCGGGGAGGCGUUACCCGCAGAAGAAGCACCGGCUAACUCCGUGCCAGCAGCCGCGGUAAUAC